GCCAGCAUAGCUCAGUGGUUGAGCAUCUAACUAUAAACUAGGAGGUCAUGGUUCGAUUCUAGGUCAGGGUA
rfam:Myotis davidii contig196856, whole genome shotgun sequence.